UGCCAGACUCCUACGGGAGGCAGCAGUGAGGAAUAUUGGUCAAUGGACGCAAGUCUGAACCAGCCAUGCCGCGUGCAGGAAGACGGCUCUAUGAGUUGUAAACUGCUUUUGUACGAGGGUAAACGCAGAUACGUGUAUCUGUCUGAAAGUAUCGUACGAAUAAGGAUCGGCUAACUCCGUGCCAGCAGCCGCGGUAAUACGGAGGAUGCGAGCGUUAUCCGGAUUUAUUGGGUUUAAAGGGUGCGUAGGCGGGCUGUUAAGUCAGCGGUCAAAUGUCGGGGCUCAACCCCGGCCUGCCGUUGAAACUGGCGGCCUCGAGUGGGCGAGAAGUAUGCGGAAUGCGUGGUGUAGCGGUGAAAUGCAUAGAUAUCACGCAGAACUCCGAUUGCGAAGGCAGCAUACCGGCGCCCUACUGACGCUGAGGCACGAAAGCGUGGGUAUCGAACAGGAUUAGAUACCCCUGUACG
rnacentral:rRNA from 1 species